rnacentral:tRNA from 1 species
GCUCUUGUGGUCUAGUGGCAAGACUUUAGGUUUUCAACCUAAAGACGGGAGUUUGAUUCUCCUCAGGAGCA